rnacentral:rRNA from 1 species
GGAGGAAUAUUGGUCAAUGGGCGAGAGCCUGAACCAGCCAAGUCGCGUGAGGGAAGACGGUCCUAUGGAUUGUAAACCUCUUUUGUCAGGGAGCAAGGAGCGCCACGAGUGGCGCUUCGGAGAGUACCUGAAGAAAAAGCAUCGGCUAACUCCGUGCCAGCAGCCGCGGUAAUACGGAGGAUGCGAGCGUUAUCCGGAUUUAUUGGGUUUAAAGGGUGCGUAGGCGGAAAGUUAAGUCAGCGGUAAAAUCGAGGGGCUCAACCCCUUCCCGCCGUGAACUGGAUUUCUUGAGUGGAAGAGAAGUAUGCGGAAUGCGUGGUGUAGCGGUGAAAUGCAUAGAUAUCACGCAGAACCCCGAUUGCGAAGGCAGCAUACCGGCUUCCAACUGACGCUGAAGCACGAAAGCGUGGGGAUCGAACAGGAUUAGAUACC